rnacentral:lncRNA from 1 species
GAAGUGAAGUGGGUCCUCUUUGUUUUCUCCUCUUUUUCUGUAGAGUAAGGCACAACCUUUUGAAGUGGCCGUAAGGCACAACGCGGCCAAGAGUGAGGAGGUACCGAAUAAUUUAAAGCAGUAUGCUGAAAACUUGUCGUAUCUUUUAUUUGUAGGGUAUACCACUUCGGAAAAAAAGAUGACAAAGGAAGCUUCCAAGCAAAAUGAAGAGCUUGCUGGUCUGUUUUGGUUAUUUUGCAGUGUCUCUACAACUGUACAGGCCCUGCCUGUCCAACCACCAUCUGGCUCGCAUAUCUGACGAGGUCUUCGCUACUUGUGCUGCGUGAACUUUUUAGCUCCAUCCUCCG